rnacentral:lncRNA from 1 species
UCCUUUUUGUGGAGAACAAGAUCUCACUAUGUUGCCCAGGCGGGUCUCAAACUCCUGGACUCAAGCUAUCCUACUGCCUCUGUCUCCCUAAGAGCUGGGAUUACAGGCGUGAGCCACCAUGCCCGGUGAAUUACGUCCAUUUUUACUGGAGGUCAGCUGUUGAUAUUUCAUUUCAUAAAACGGUUUCUUUGCCAAAUUCAGGUGACUGAGAAAGAACCACACCCCUGAAGCAAAACACAGCAAACAAAACCACAAAUCAUCUUUCAGCUUGACUUUCUAGAUGAGGUCUUGGUUCCCGAAACCUUGUGGCAAGCUUCUAUAGUUGGGUUGGAUUAUAACUGCCUUUUUUUAUUUGGAAAGAGUGACCACCAAUCCUGAAACCUUUCACUCCAGAUGUGCUGGUAGUUUCUGAGGGGGACACCAAGUAUCUCUCCAUUGUCUGCCACCCUCCAGUGACUGGUAACCACAUUCUAC